CAAUCUACAUUGUGUCUACAAGCGUUACAGAAAUAAAGAUAAAUUCAAUUAAUAUUCAUUGUUAAAAAUGGGAAGAUUUAUUUGCAAAUUUAUCAUGCUAUUAGCAGUGUUGGUGAAUGUUAAUUAAAAAACUAACCAGUUGUGUUACCUUGUUAGUUUAUAUGUAAAGUUAUGCGCUACAUUACUUUUGUCUCACCUUUUGUCUUUUUCUUGCCUGGCUGAGGCUUGAUUUGUUUCAGAAAUUUCUUGUCUUCUUUUUUUUUUAAUAAUUUUUUUCACAGGUUUAUAAUUUUUUUAUUGAAAUAGGAUAGUGGAGAACAUACAGAAAAGCAUUGGGAGCAAAAAAAAAAAAGGAAGGAUCCGCAUAGGACCUGAAGCUGGGAAUUGAACUCAGGUUGCUGUGAGGACCAUGAUGUUAUAUAACUUAGCCACUAGACUAUUGCCGUGUUUUUUAGGUAAGGGAGUUAUGCAAUCACAAUGUCCUGUAUAACCUAAACCUUCAUUUUUCUUUAAAAAACAGAUUAAAAUUUAUAAUUUAGGAUAAUGUUAUCUUCUGAAAACUUACAAACUUCAGAGCUAUACAUGUCUUAUAUACAGAUUAUUGAACGUUAAAAGCAAUUUGUUUGUGACAUUUGUACUUUUGGUCAUAUACGUUAGGUAAAAUCACUGUCCAUUGAGACGAUCCCCUUUUCUUCUAUGCAUUAAAAAUAAUGAGAAUUCUUCCAUCACAAAAAUGUAAAGCUCUGGUAUGCUAUCUUCAUUUCUCACCGGGAGCGCAUUUAAAAUUCAACAUGACUACAUUAUUUUUAAUUCAGCAAUUUAUUUUUUAAAGCUAAAUAAUUAAACUAAAAAGUAACUCGCAUUACAUUUUUUUAAAAAAGUAGCUCAAAUAUUAUUUCUGAAUAUAUUAAGUAAUAUUACUGAAUUAAUAUGUUAUUAUGGAACUCGCAUUACUUGUUAUGCGUUACCUCCAACACUGGCUAUUAGAGUAGCGUAACUUCAUAUUGUGGAAAACACUGAUCACACUGCUCUGAUCCUGAUCUCUUUUUUAGUCUCAUCCACAGUUCAGUGGGUUGCUUAACCAUAACUUUGUCACCAAGGAUUUUCUGGAGAUUUUCAAUCAGGUUUAUUUCAGGACUCUAGGCUGCCAUUUCAUUUUUACAAUGUUUUUAGCUUCAAGGAAAAGUUUUACCCAUUUUGUUAUGGUAAGGGGCUCAUAUUAAAAUUGCUAGAUUAUUGGGCACAGAUUGAUUGAAAGUAACCACGUUGCGGAAAGAGCUUCUGAUUUACAUUAGCAUACAUUCUGCCAUGUAACUAAAAGAAGCCAGACUCCUGCUGCAGAAAACAUCCCUCAUACCAUCACAUUUCACCUUCACCUUUCUCUUACUUCACACACUUUGGGUUCAGUCUUUCUUUAGUUUCACAAUGAAGAUAUUGUCUCCAAUCAGACUCUCAAUUACAUUAAACUUGCCUUUUAUAUAUGUGAACACAACAUGCUCCUUAGCAAAGGUAGUUUCAUCCUUUCUGCUGAUUAAGGUUUGGUCGCUGCAGAGCUUUCAGUUCCAUUUUCUCUUAAACAUCCAGACUCUGUAUGCUGAUAUACAAAUACUUUCACUCUGUUUAGCUCUGAACAGUUCCAGCUGUGUUACAAUAUAUGUAACUCUCAUGAAAUGUGCUAAACUACUCUUUUACUCUGAUUAGGAUACCUCCAUACUUGAAAGAACAUAUCCAGAAAAAGAAAAGAGUCAUCUAGUGACAGUUCACAUCCAAUCUGACAGAGCUGAAGCAUCUACAGAGAAGAAUGGCAGAAAAACAAAAUGCAGAUGUGCAAAGAUUACCACAUCAAAUCCAGCAGACCUGAGACUGCUAAAGCCAGAGAAAUGUGUGACCUGCAGUGAUUUGAACAGGUGUUGGCGAUGCCACUUCUCUUCUGUGCUGCAUCUCUCCUUUAAAUCCAUUAAGAUCAUCAAAACAUGACAGGGGGAUCAUCAGUCUGUCUGCAGGACGAGCUGCGUCCUGCCCAGCAAACCAGCUCACACUCACACACUCUCUAAACAGGCUUGGAGCGACUGAAGCUGCUGUCCGGUUUGAAGAUGCUCAUUAGGACACAACAGGAAGCAGUUGGUCAGUUAGUAGAGCACAUGCAGGUUACCAGCAACAGGUGGACAGCAGCACACAGGCACAUAUGAAGGGAAGGCAGGCAGGCAGACAGACAGACAGACAGACGUACCAGGCGGGCAGGCAGACAGCGGGCAGACAGCAGGGACUUAAAUUUAUUCGUCAAACCAACAAUCUCACCCCAACACCCACCGAAGUCCCCAAACACACACUCUGUUGUGAAAAUCACACAAGCAUCUUGCGAGAGAUGUAAAAUAAUACAGACAGCCACAGUGAGCGAGCGAGGGAGAUUAAGGGGAAGUGACAGAGCUGGCGCAGGAUGUUUGACUGUUUGCUCUUGCUUUAACAACAUCCUCUGCGCAGACACCCGAUGAGGACAGAGAUACAGGACUGAACCAUUGUUCUGCUUAUCUUCGUCCGGGCUCAUAUCUGCUGGCCCAGGGGCUAUUGAGGAGCGGAUGACCACUGAUAGAGACACAAACACACAAACUGCAGGGAAGGACUGGCUCUAAUUAGUGGAUCAACAUAUUGGUGAUGAUGAUGCUUAAUUAUCCUUGCUCAUGUUGGAUUUGGAGGUAAAUCUGUGUUGGCAGACACUGAGGAGAUCUAAUUUAAGUCAUAAAUGUACUCAUUUUCAUAUAGAUUUGGAGGGUUUAAUCUGCUGUUUGAGAAGAGAAUAUUUUGCUCAGAAAAAAAUGUUAGGUUUAACUGUAUGAUUAAAAAAAUGUCAUGAAACGAAGCCUUUUUAUAUUAUAUAAAUUGAUUGUCAUGAUUAUUUUAACUAUAAUAAAAUAAUUUCAGUGCUGUGAAA